UGCAGCCUUGUCAAAUUCAGUGUGUCUCUUUGGUAGACAUCACUGGCCAAAAUGGCUGCCACAUAAACUGUAGUUCAUGGGCCCCACUUCCUCUCAAAAUAGCAAAUGGGGACAAAUCUGUACUACAGACAAUC
ensembl:snoRNA